rnacentral:rRNA from 1 species
CAGUGGGGAAUAUUGCACAAUGGGCGAAAGCAUGAUGCAGCAACGCCGCGUGAGCGAUGAAGGCCUUCGGGUCGUAAAGCUCUGUCCUCAAGGAAGAUAAUGGCGGUACUUGAGGAGGAAGCCCCGGCUAACUACGUGCCAGCAGCCGCGGUAAUACGUAGGGGGCUAGCGUUAUCCGGAAUUAGGGGGCGUAAGGGGUGCGUAGGUGGUUUUUUAAGUCAGAGGUGAAAGGCUACGGCUCAACCGUAGUAAGCUUUUGAAACUGGGAAACUUGAGUGCAGGAGAGGAGAGUGGAAUUCCUAGUGUAGCGGUGAAAUGCGUAGAUAUUAGGAGGAACCCCAGUGGCGAAGGCGGCUCUCUGGACUGUAACUGACACUGAGGCAAGAAAGCGUGGGGAGCAAACAGGAUUAGAUACCCUGGUAGUCCACGCCGUAAACGAUGAGU